rnacentral:rRNA from 1 species
UACGUAGGGGGCAAGCGUUAAUCGGAAUUACUGGGCGUAAAGCGUGCGCAAGCGGUCCGUUAAGACAGAUGUGAAAUCCCCGGGCUUAACCUGGGAACUGCAUUUGUGACUGGAGGACUCGAGUAUGGCAGAGGGGUGUAGAAUUCCACGUGUAGCAGUGAAAUGCGUAGAGAUGUGGAGGAAUACCGAUGGCGAAGGCAGCCCCCUGGGCCAAUACUGACGCUCAUGCACGAAAGCGUGGGGAGCAAACAGG